rfam:Nasonia vitripennis chromosome 1, whole genome shotgun sequence.
GCCAGGUUGGCCCGAGCGGUCUAAGGCGCGGGAUUUAAGCUCCUGUUCCCUCUGGGAGCGUGGGUUCGAAUCCCACACCUGGCA